rnacentral:rRNA from 1 species
UACGAAGGGGGCUAGCGUUGUUCGGAAUUACUGGGCGUAAAGCGUGCGCAGGCGGCUUCUCAAGUCAGGGGUGAAAGCCCAGAGCUCAACUCUGGAAUUGCCUUUGAGACUGAGAGGCUUGAGUACGGGAGAGGUGAGUGGAAUUUCCGGUGUAGCGGUGAAAUGCGUAGAUAUCGGAAGGAACACCUGUGGCGAAAGCGGCUCACUGGACCAUUACUGACGCUGAGGCACGAAAGCUAGGGGAGCAAACAGG